CUGCAUCAAUACUCCAUGUUGAAAGAGGGUAUUAGGUUACACAUCCAAAACAGGCAGAGAUGAACUGUGACCUCUGAACCAUGAACUACAGUGAUUCACACAGGUGACAUUCAUGAUGGUCUGGAUGGCCUGCGGGUUUACAAUAUAGAGAACAAUGGGCCAAAUCUGCAGAAAAAUGAACAACAAAAAAUAGAAAAAAAGGGAAAACAAAGAAAGAAUAAUGGGGUGCUCAUGAUAAUAUAAAGAAUAGAGAAUAAUGGGCAAAAAAUAUAAAGAAUAAAAGAAAAAAUGACAUGAAAAAUAAAAGAAUACAGAAACGAAGGACCCCAAUUGAAACCCUCAUUCACUCUAUUCUCUUAAAAUCAUAUACUAGUAAUACCUCAAUUUAAACAAAAAAGUUUGAUAUGUUAUAUAUACUUUCCUGGCUAAGUUUUACUAUUAAACAUGUGUAGAUAGACUUUCAAUUAAAGGGGCAUUAGCUACGAGAUAUAAUGAAAAAUAAAAUAUGAUUUUUUUUUGUGUUAUCAUCAAUGAAUGUGAAAUAAUGAAAUAACAAUUGCUUCUAGCAGCCAAUUUGGUUCAUUUUUGUCAAAAUAACUUAGAAACAUUGCUGAUGAAUUAUUCACUUGCAACUCAUUGAAUCCAUAUCCAUGUGACCUUCUAUUUAACCCCUUCGGUGGAGAUGGGUUACGUGUGUAAUAAGCUAUUAAAAGGAAAAGAAUGUCAAGGAUGAAGCAUUUGGUUGACUGAUUCGAUCCACAAUAAAAUCAUUCUUAUACAGGUAAAAACGACGAUAAACAUACCUUUAACCCACAAUAUGAAAUCAAACAGACCUAAAAAAAAAUCCAAUUGCACGUGGUCAUUAUCUAUUUAUAUUUAUGUUUAUAUCGGGUUAAAUGACCGUCGGCAGUCUUCGGAGGUCAUCUCGAUGGUUAAUUAGAUGACGUCUAGACACUGAAAAGUACACACGAAACAUUAUCGAGUUCAUGCACUGUUAAUUGUUAUUUUAAACUUUUUGUAAUUUGGAUAUACGUUUUAGUAUGUUAUUAAUCAAAUGUGAGAAUUUAAGUCAAAUCGGUGAACAUGAAUUUGACAGCUAAUGCCCCUUUCAAAGAAAUCCUUUGUUUUAUCAAAUUCUUCUAAAAUGUACUGCUAUUGAAUUAUUUUCUUCCCAUUCUCUAAUUCAUCGACAGCUUUUCCAUACCAUGACAUCGCUAUUUAGAAUUCGGCAACCACAAAACGCAAUUGUGAAGGAAGGAAAUGUUAUAAACGUUAAUAAGGUGAACAAACGUGGAUAGAAAAUAUUAUCAAUCGAUUAUGACAGAAAUAUAUUAAUAAACCAAAUCAGUUAACAACUGUUAUGACAAAGUUGAAUUAACUUAUUGGAACACAUGGACAAUAAAAAAAAAAACGUUUCCGAUCAACAAUCUAUGAAUGAAAUAUUUUUUGUCGAUUAUAAAAUACAGAUUCGUAAAAGAUAUCAAAACUUACACAGAGGACUUCGUUUCGUAUACAUGCAUGCAUUAGUUCAGUAAAUUCCUGAACGGCAUUAUAAUCACCAGAAACUUGUUUCAUAUGACCUUAACAUGCAUUAUGUUUUAAAAUGUGUUGUUUGCAUGCCUUUUGUAUGUGUCAUAAUGUAGGUAUAAUAUAUUGUUAUGCAUGUUGUUGAUUUGAAAAGCUCAUUAGAGCUUAUGUUUUUGUACGGUUUGUUUACUAAAUAUCAACUUUAAAUAAAACUUUGAAUUGAACGAA